ACUAGGUGAAUUGGGUUAAAUUGUCUUAAAAUUAUCUGAAGAAUCUGUGGAUUUCGUUUGUCGGGAGAAUUUCUGGACACCCUGUAUAUAAUUACAGAGUUCGCAUGUUUGUCCUAACAGCUUUCAUAAACUUGUUAAUGCGGUAAGACCCUCACAGAAUUUUAGAUAACAAAGCUUGGAAAAUUUUAAUUAAAAAUCAUAUGAGUAUUAAAUUAUAAGACAUUCAUUUGGUUCUGAAACUAUUUUCUUGUGGCAUUUACAUGUUUCCUGCUAUAUCUAAUGGGAAUUAAACACAACUUUAAUUUGUACACUAAGAUUUCUACUUUGCAAAUCGUUCUUAGUUUAAUUUGUAUUAAACUUAUUGUGUUAAUCGUAUUUAUAUUAAAUUGAGCACCAUCGGCUAAGAGUCAAUCAAAAUGUCAAACAGAAAUAGUUAUUUUCCUAACUAGUGCGGAAAGUGAUAUUUUCCCGCACGAGACUGCCGUUGACCUGAACGACGCGAUAGCGGAGUUCGGGCAAGCAGUCGAGUGCGGGGAAGACACUUUCCGCAUGAGUUAGGAACAAUAUUUUUUCUAGGGCCGUACGUUUGGAAAAAAGUCGCAAAGAAUAAAGUUAUAUCAAUCUUUAUUUAGAAGUGAAAAUACACAAAUUAAUUCUUUGGCCAAGGUUGUCAAAACCAAACUUUCAAUAUAAUUGGUAACCACGACGAUGAUAUUGGUUCCAUGGCGACGAAUCAAAACCAUUGUAAUUGUCUACUGAUUUGACUUUUAAAUAUUAUGUCAAAAUAAUAUUAUUUUCAUCGAAUUAUCUCGCUAAUUUCAUUAAAACAUGAACAAAAUAAGAUAAAUUUAAAAUAAAUUAGUAAAUAAUAUCUAAAUAUUAGUUUAUUGCAUGUAUUAUAGUAUAUUAUAAUGCCAUAUUAGAAGGUAUUCAACUUUCUCGCACGCCGUGCGGGAAAAUUUACUUUCCCACACGGCGUGCGGAAAAGUGCCACUUUCAGAAACAAAAUGCGUGGCUGAUUUAGCACGGCCGUAGAAAAAAUGUAUUUUCAAUUGAAAGUGUGCCUAAUUUCCAUUUAAUCGAGCACAUAAUCAACAAUAUCUAACUAACUAACUAUAUCCAGAACAACCACUACAUGAGUCAGCAAUUUUAGUGAUGUUUUAAAAAAUUACAACUAUAAUGAAAAAAAAACAACACAAUUGAAUCUGGACGUACUAGGUGAACUGGAAUGGAUAUUAUUAUUUUCAUCUUAUUGUUUUCACCCUAUACUAAAAAUACCUAAUAGACAAAUAAUUUAUAUUUAUAAUUAUAAUCAGCGGUGGGCGUAUGUCAAGUACCCAAAAUAAAAAUAAUACAUUUUAAGUCUUAAAUGUAUAAUAAGCAAUUUAAG
rnacentral:lncRNA from 1 species